GACGAACCACACGAACGUUAUUCGGAAUUACUGGGCUCAAAGGGUGCGUAGGCGGCGCGGUAAGUAGGGUGUGAAAUCCCUCGGCUCAACCGAGGAACUGCGCUCUAAACUACCGUGCUCGAGGGAGGUAGAGGUGAGCGGAACUUAGGGUGGAGCGGUGAAAUGCGUUGAUAUCCUAAGGAACACCGGUGGCGAAAGCGGCUCACUGGAUCUCUUCUGACGCUGAGGCACGAAAGCUAGGGUAGCGAACGGG
rnacentral:rRNA from 1 species